UACGUAGGGGGCAAGCGUUGUCCGGAUUUAUUGGGCGUAAGGAGCGUGUAGGCGGCCAGGUAGGUCCGUUGUGAAAACUCGAGGCUCAACCUCGAGACGUCGAUGGAAACCAUCUGGCUAGAGUCCGGAAGAGGAGAGUGGAAUUCCUGGUGUAGCGGUGAAAUGCGCAGAUAUCAGGAAGAACACCUAUGGCGAAGGCAGCUCUCUGGGACGGUACUGACGCUGAGACGCGAAAGCGUGGGGAGCGAACAGG
rnacentral:rRNA from 1 species